UACGUAGGUGGCGAGCGAUGUCCGGAAUUACUGGGUGUAAAGGGCGUGUAGGCGGGACUGUAAGUCAGAUGUGAAAUUCCCCGGCUCAAAUGGGGCGCUGCAUCUGAAACUAUGGUUCUUGAGUGCUGGAGAGGGAAGCGGAAUUCCAAGUGAAGCGGUGAAAUGCGUAGAUAUUUGGAGGAACACCAGUGGCGAAGGCGGCUUUCUGGACAGUAACUGACGCUGAGGCGCGAAAGCGUGGGGAGCAAACAGG
rnacentral:rRNA from 1 species